rnacentral:lncRNA from 1 species
GACUUCAAACACAAGCACCUAUGCUGUUUUGGAGUAUAGCAAAUGAUGUCUACAGAUUCUUGAAAUGACAAUGUUUUAAGGCUUCAGAUCCUGCCAGUUGAAAAAGAUCCAGCUAAGCGAAGAUGAUUGUCAUGGCUCCAUGAUAAGCUUGAAAGGAUCAAAUCAGCUGACAAGAAAAGAAAUACCUUGGAAUUACCAGUAAAUCCUUAUAAUAAUUCAAAGCACGCAUUAAAUAGGCUUGGAAGUAUUAAAGGAAGGAAUUACCCUUAAAAUAAUUUAAGAAGUUUCAGUGCAAGGCUUCAACCUCAGUGGCUCCAACAUCUGCAGGUCCAUAGUUUGAUGCAUUCUCAGAACCAUCUAUGCAAGUGCUGUUCUUAAAUUGUUCCACUUGUUGGGAGUCCAACAAUGGGGAAGGACCUUUCAAGAC